UACAUGGGGGGCAAGCGUUGUUCGGAAUUACUGGGCGUAAAGGGCCAGUAGGCGGCCAACUAAGUCACACGUGAAAUCCCCGGGCUUAACCCGGGAACUGCGUGUGAUACUGGAUGGCUUGAGUUCGGGAGAGGUGAGUGGAAUGCCGAGUGUAGAGGUGAAAUUCGUAGAUAUUCGGCGGAACACCAGUGGCGAAGGCGACUCACUGGCCCGAUACUGACGCUGAGGCGCGAAAGCGUGGGGAGCAAACAGG
rnacentral:rRNA from 1 species